UGGAGCAUGAUUCAUGAUUCGUACCGUUCGUUCUCUCAGCCUACUACUACUAAACGCAUCCCAUUUGCGCGGUAGGCUGGCGAACGAAAUUCAACGUUGAAUCGUCUCCAGUAAACAAGAAACCCGCGCCAUUGCGCGGGUUUUUUU
rnacentral:sRNA from 1 species